CCUGGGCGGAAAUGGCAGCGCUGGAAGGAGACGCGAGGGGCUCGUAGGGUGAGCAGAGGCGGGGCAGACGCCCCGAGGGCGCAGCGCUCCGGGUCCAGGAGGGCGGCCCCGGGCAGGGCGCUGUCUCCAGCCACCGGGCCCCGUGUGGAUCUCACCGGCCGAGCCUGGCCGGGCGCUGACAUCUGCGCCUCCCCGGGGCGAAGGAUAGCCAGUUCACCAUUUAUUUGUUUGGAGGACUUGGGUUUCUCUUUUCUUCUGGCAGGCAGGGAGCUCGCAGACGGGACAUGGAACCAAGAGCUGACAGUCGCCUGGAAACUCAACCUUCUCCCAGGGCCGGGGGGUCGGGAAGGGGCGGGUGUCUCUGCGCCUUAGAACACAGACCUGGGGAAAGAGCACUGGCCUUGGAGUCAGACAGACCUGGCCUUGCUCAGCUCCCACUGUGUCACCGGGAGCAACCUACUUCAUGUGUGUCCAAGAUCAGGGAGAAUGUAGAUUGCAUGACACAGAGUCUAAAACAAGACCUAGCUGUUUUUUCUGUCUCAGCCACCUACCGUUCUGACACUGUACUUAUCGCAACUUGUAAUUAUUUUGUGUUUUGACUUCAUUAUUACUAUUGUUUUUGUUGUUGUUGAUGUCUCUCACCAGACUAUAACAGCCAUGAGAGCACAGACCAUAGGUGUCUUGCUCACAUAUGUCCCCAGGACAUAGCACGUAGUAGGUGCUCAAUAAGAGUAUUUCCAAUUAACAUUUUUAUGUGAUAAAAAUUAGUCUCUUUCCUGACCCCAAUGGUAAGUCACGCAUUCCUGAGCUAGCAAGCAAAGCUGAGUGGUUUUCCUGGGAUAUUAUUCAUUGCUGCAUUUACACCCAAAAGUACUGAAGAAGGAACUUGUGGAAACGAGUGAAUUCAGGCCACCCCUGGAAACAUUCUGAUGUUUAUCUAAGGAGCCACUUUGGAAUGAAGCCAUCAAGCAGCCCCCCCACACACACACACAGUCACAGAGCAGGGACACCCCCUCCCCCCACCUCUCAGGAGCAAGAGCAGGGCCCUCUGGACCUGGGGGCAGGCUACCGGGGACCACAGAGCUUCCAGUAAUUGCAGUGCUGUUUCUUCAAGAGGAGAGGGAAAAGCAUUUCAGCAAUAAGCAAAGGAGGGGGAAAAUCAAUAAGGAUGUGUAUAAUGAAUUUUUGUUUCCUGAAAUAGCCUGGCAGGAGCCUUGCCAGGAAGAGUUAGGGCUAAUCAGUGACAAGAUGAGAGAGACAAACCCAAGAACAUCGCUCAGCUCUGCAGGCGCCCUGGUGGAAGAAGUCAGCGUGAGGAAUUACAGACAGGCCAGCCUGUCGUCCAGAAAGACUAUCUCUGAGAGAACCCGGACGGAGAACACCCUGUACCUGGCAGAACCAAUAGAUGUCGGCUCAACAAGGCUGUUGAAAUAAAACAUAGAAAUGAGGCCAAGGCGUUUCUCACUUUCAUCUUCUCCCUUGACCAUCUCAGUGAGUGUAAAUACCUGGGAAUGGUAUUGCUCGGUCAUAGGACAAGUGAAUUUUCAACUUUCUAAGAAACUGACCAACUGUUCCACCAGCAGUAAGAGUUCCUGAGGCUCCAUAUAUUCUCUGACAACUUGGAGUUGUUUUAAAUCUCUUGAAUCCUGCAGAGUGUAUGAAGUCAAAAUAGUACCAGGAGGAAGUGUUGCUACGUGUUCACAGAAGCAGACCCCUCAAGGCAAAGGGCCGCGCGGCUGGCCGUGUCCUGGCGCCUCGGCUCGCUGGGAGGCUGCCGAGAAGAGGAGGAUGGCGUGUCCCGCCGCGGCACACCCAGGGCCUGCACGGAGCCCGGCAUCCAUACGUGUCCAGGAGCGGAUGAAUUUAUCACUUCCUGAGGUGGCCUCUCUGGUUAUUAACAGAUCCCGUUUUUGCAGAGUGCUAAGUUGAGAAACUGAAUUUUUGUCGAAAAGGAAUCAGAGUAACGUGCCUGUCCCAGGGCUGAUGCUGACAGCGUUUUGCCCCACACCACAGGCUGCACAAGGCCGCCAGGCCCUGGGGGAGAUUCCGCUGAGACUCCGGGAUUCUCCCAGCCCAGGCCAAGGAGGCCGGCUCUGUUCCAAACUUGGAAUAGGGCACCAAGUGAACUGCCCCCAGAAGUUUCUGAGGACUGCACUCAGCGGCACUUACCUUUCAGAACCAUCACUGGAGCUGUUCUCCCAGUUGGGUCUCUUCUAAGAAGGGACCGUAAGAACCCAACGUUCAUCGUGUUCUGGCUUCCUGAAGUCUGUCACGAUGCAGGCAGAACACGGGGAU